rnacentral:lncRNA from 1 species
AUCAUUGCCGCUGCUGCUGUCACCACUACUACCACUGCAGGGUUGCCUAGAAGCCGAUGAUCACUGUAAAGUUCCCCAAUGAAUUAAGUUUGGGCCAGGAGAUACUAAAGGAUACAAAAAUGGCAGACUCACUGCUGUUCUGGAGAACGUUCUCUGCAGUCUCCUCUUCAAAUACGGCUCUUGGCUAUGCUUGUGAAUUUUGUGAAUAUACAAU